rnacentral:rRNA from 1 species
UACGAAGGGGGCUAGCGUUGCUCGGGAUCACUGGGCGUAAAGCGCACGUAGGCGGCUUUCUAAGUCAGGGGUGAAAUCCUGGAGCUCAACUCCAGAACUGCCUUUGAUACUGGGAAGCUCGAGUCCGGGAGAGGUGAGUGGAACUCCGAGUGUAGAGGUGAAAUUCGUAGAUAUUCGGAAGAACACCAGUGGCGAAGGCGGCUCACUGGCCCGGUACUGACGCUGAGGUGCGAAAGCGUGGGGAGCAAACAGG